rnacentral:rRNA from 1 species
AGAGUUUGAUCCUGGCUCAGAGUAAACGCUGGCGGCGUGCCUAAUACAUGCAAGUCGAACGGGGUACUUGAGCAAUCGAGUACUUAGUGGCGAACGGGUGAGUAACGCGUUGGUGACCUGCCCCAAAGCGGGGGAUAACAGCCUGAAAGGGUUGCUAAUACCGCAUAUGGUCUAAAGGGCUUAGAAGCUUUAGAUUAAAGGAGAAAUCCACUUUGGGAGGGGCCUGCGUCCCAUCAGCUAGUUGGUAGGGUAAAAGCCUACCAAGGCGAUGACGGGUAGGGGACCUGAGAGGGUGACCCCCCACAAUGGAACUGAAACACGGUCCAUACACCUACGGGUGGCAGCAGUAGGGAAUAUUGCACAAUGGGCGAAAGCCUGAUGCAGCAACGCCGCGUGAGUGAUGAAGGCCCUCGGGUCGUAAAACUCUUUUCAAGAGGAAGAGGAAGGACGGUACUCUUGGAAUAAGCCUCGGCUAACUACGUGCCAGCAGCCGCGGUAACACGUAGGAGGCGAGCGUUAUUCGGAUUUACUGGGCGUAAAGCGCGUGUAGGCGGCUUUAUAAGUUGGAUGUGAAAGCUCCCGGCUUAACUGGGAGAGGACGUUCAAAACUAUAGAGCUUGAGUACGAGAGAGGAAAAUGGAAUUCCGGGUGUAGUGGUGAAAUGCGUAGAUAUCCGGAGGAACACCAGUGGCGAAGGCGAUUUUCUGGCUCGAGACUGACGCUCAGACGCGAAAGCUAGGGUAGCAAACGGGAUUAGAGACCCCGGUAGUCCUAGCUGUAAACGAUGUAGACUUGGCGUUGGUGGAGUAAAAUCCAUCAGUGCCGCAGCAAACGCGAUAAGUCUACCGCCUGGGGACUACGGCCGCAAGGUUAAAACUCAAAGGAAUUGAC